UAGUAACUGAAGAUCUAACAAAAGCAAAAGUAAAAGAAAGAAAAGUCACUUUGACAUUGAGUCAUGGCAAGUACUUCUCCCUGCCUUUCAGAGCCACAUUUUGGAGAAAGCUUCCUGACUGGAAUAAUAAAUUGUGCUUGAAAAACAUAGAAAUAGAGGAGAGGGCAAGGUUACUUCUGAAAUGGAAAACUAAGUGGCACAUGGUUUGAAAACUCUCAGAAUCACUGGCAUUCCUUGGUCAAGCUGAGUGGAACAAAUCACUCCCCAAACAAAAUUUUUCGGGUUAAUGCCGGGCAACUUGUCUCAAAAAGGAAGUUUUGACUCUAUAGAGCCAGUGGAUGUGGACCAUGGACUUAGGAAGAGAUUUGGACACAAAGCAGAGAACACCGAAGAGCUGCUCAUUUGCACUGAAGUGGUUUGCUGGCUUUCUGCCUAGAUCUGACAUCUCUUCAAAUGGACAGUCCCAACUCUCUCUCAAUUCUCUUCCCCCUUCUCUAAGAAGAAACAGACCCAGAAGUUUCAGUAAGUUGCUCCAUCACAUUGCCAGGGCAGAUUCUGAAACUCACUCUAAAGCAUCAAGACAAUCUUCCCUGUGCAGAUCUAGACCAGUGUCUGGAACAUAGUGGGUACAAUAAAGAGUAAACAAAAUAGCUGUGUUCAGACUGUAGCAUAAGAAGCCCUGUGGAUUAUUAAAGAUAUGGUAAAAUAAUUCCAUUCCAAAAUAUAAUUUCUGAACGAACUUGGGAAUAAAUGCAUGGUUUUCCACAAUGAUGACUUCAAAGGAAAUGGUGCUCACUUGGAUCUUUGAUGGGACCUCUCUCUGUUGCCCAGGCUGACUUUGAACUCCUGGGCUAAGGGAUUCUGCCACCUAAGCCCCCUACGUAGCUGGGAUUACUGGAGUGUGCUACUGUGCUUGGCCAUGGAUCUUUUAACAUUUUAUAUACUAAAAGAGAAACAUUUUUAUGGCUUCAGUUCACAUACUUCUAUUUGUAUUACUGUAAGCAGAUUACUGUGUUUGGAAAGGUCAAUUCUCAAGGCUUCUCUUUCUACUUAGCAAUUAGUUCCAUGCUUUAUAUGUGCAAUGUAAACUGUGUAUCAGUUACCUGGAAUAUUUUUGUUUUGAAGUGUUUUCCUUUUUGUUUCAUCUAAAGAAAUGCUCAUAACCCAUUUUAUUAGACUCA
rnacentral:lncRNA from 10 species